rnacentral:lncRNA from 1 species
CUCUCGGCAGCCAUGGCGGCUCUAUGUUUGUAUCGCCAUUGUUACCGUUGGGACGCCGCGGAUGACCCUAUAUACCCUUGGCCGGCUACCGGGAAGACUGCGUCUCCUGACGAUCGUAACGAAGAUGUACCGUGCUUUCCUUCUGAGAGUUUAGUCGCCCUAAUAUGUGCAGCAGGCUAACCGCGUGGAAAGUUGGUGACUAAAGUCUGCUUAUGCCAAAUGCCCAGCAAUGUCCAGUUGAGAUCCAGGAGCCAGGAAGAAGGGGGGCUACUUGGCCAACAUGGCUGAUCACGUGCCUGAGGUAUGCCCUCUGACCUCACCAGGGUAACACAGAACCAUCCAUACAGGCCUUGGGCAGCUGGAAAUUUACACUGGUAGCUCUCCCAUGUCCUAAGUUAGGAACUGGAUUUGGAUUGGCUUGGGUUUGACUCUUAUUUCCAAGACUGGUGAGGUAAACACUGGAUGGAGGACCCUCUAAGGCUCAACCUCUCUAUCUAAUUGUAUAUGGCCUUAAGAGAGAUAAUUGAGUUGGGUGGUGAUAACUGGUCACUUGAGUUCAAGGCCAGCCUGGUCUACAAAGCAAGUUCCAGGACAGCCAGGACUGGUACACAAAGAAACCCUGUCUUGAAAAACUAAAAAAAAAAAGGAGAGGGGAAAAAAGGCUGGAUGCUGUGACACAAAUAAACUUGUCAGUUCUUGAGGCUGGAA